rnacentral:sRNA from 1 species
GUCGUGAGAUGUUGGGUUAAGUCCCGCAACGAGCGCAACCCUUGUCAUUAGUUGCUACGAAAGGGCACUCUAAUGAGACUGCCGGUGACAAACCGGAGGAAGGUGGGGAUGACGUCAAGUCCUCAUGGCCCUUAUGGGUAGGGCUUCACACGUCAUACAAUGGUACAUACAGAGGGCCGCCAACCCGCGAGGGGGAGCUAAUCCCAGAAAGUGUAUCGUAGUCCGGAUUGUAGUCUGCAACUCGACUGCAUGAAGUUGGAAUCGCUAGUAAUCGCGGAUCAGCAUGUCGCGGUGAAUACGUUCCCGGGUCUUGUACACACCGCCCGUCACACCAUGGGAGCGGGUUUUACCAGAAGUAGGUAGCUUAACCGUAAGGGGGGCGCUUACCACGGUAGGAUUCGUGACUGGGGUGAAGUCGUAACAAGGUAGCCGUAUCGGAAGGUGCGGCUGGAUCACCUCCUUUCUAGAGUUCGCAUGAAUCUUCGGAUUCCUCAUCAAGCGCUCACACUUAUCGACUGUCAAUCAAGAAGAAAUGCAUGGUGGAUGAAAGUGCAAAUUUAAGCUGUCGCCCUGCGAACGGUUUAGGUUUGAACUUUUCGAGCUCAAUGCUGUUUCGUUCUUUAACAAUUUGGAAGAAGUAAGUAAAGAUUAUUUAUUGAUCGCAUGCGUCGGAAGACGGGUGCGAUGGGUGAUGAUUGUAUGUAUCAACAAACAAGCAACAACGUUGUACUUCUUAACUCUGUACCGUUUCUUUCAGUGCGCAAGCGUUGAGAGGCUAACGUUAUAGGGACAAGCGAAUAAGUGCACAUGGUGGAUGCCUUGGCGAUUACAGGCGAUGAAGGACGUAGUAGCUUGCGAUAAGCUGCGGGGAGCGAGCAAACACGCUUUGAUCCGCAGAUUU